AACGAACGCUGGCGGCAGGCUUAACACAUGCAAGUCGAACGAAGCCUUCGGGCUUAGUGGCGGACGGGUGAGUAACACGUGGGAACGUACCUUUUGGUUCGGAAUAACGCAGAGAAAUUUGCGCUAAUACCGAAUGAGCCCUUAGGGGGAAAGAUUUAUCGCCGAAAGAUCGGCCCGCGUUGGAUUAGGUAGUUGGUGUGGUAAAGGCGCACCAAGCCUACGAUCCAUAGCUGGUCUGAGAGGAUGAUCAGCCACACUGGGACUGAGACACGGCCCAGACUCCUACGGGAGGCAGCAGUGGGGAAUCUUGCGCAAUGGGCGAAAGCCUGACGCAGCCAUGCCGCGUGAAUGAUGAAGGUCUUAGGAUUGUAAAAUUCUUUUACCAGGGACGAUAAUGACGGUACCUGGAGAAAAAGCCCCGGCUAACUUCGUGCCAGCCGCCGCAGUAAGAC
rnacentral:rRNA from 1 species